AAGAAUCAAUCUAAGCAACUUUGAGAG
rnacentral:sRNA from 1 species